GUCAAGUUAGUUUAAAUAAAAACAUCAGCCUGUGGAUUUGAAAAUGAAAUCUGAUUUUCACUUGACCC
rnacentral:tRNA from 1 species